CUGGUUCAGGACGAACGCUGGCGGCGUGCCUAAUACAUGCAAGUCGAACGGUCUUUCUAUGGAAGCUGCUCCACUGAGAAGAUAGUGGCGAACGGGUGAGUAACACGUGGGUAACCUGCCCAUAAGAGGGGGGAGUAAACAUCCGGAAACGGGUGCUAAUACCGCAUAGUUUUCUUGAUCGCAUGAUCGGGAAAGGAAAGACGGCCUUUGUGCUGUCGCUUAUGGAUGGACCCGCGGCGUAUUAGUUAGUUGGUGAGGUAACGGCUCACCAAGACGAUGAUACGUAGCCGACCUGAGAGGGUGAUCGGCCACAUUGGGACUGAGACACGGCCCAAACUCCUACGGGAGGCAGCAGUAGGGAAUCUUCCGCAAUGGACGAAAGUCUGACGGAGCAACGCCGCGUGAGUGAAGUAAAAGGGUUUUCGGAUCGUAAAACUCUGUUGUCAGAGAAGAACAAGUUGGAGAGUAACUGCUCCAGCCUUGACGGUAUCUGACCAGAAAGCCACGGCUAACUACGUGCCAGCCGCGGC
rnacentral:rRNA from 1 species